rnacentral:tRNA from 1 species
UCCCUGGUGGCUUAGAUGGUAAAGAAUCUUCCUACAAUGCAGGAGGCCCAGGUUCGAUCCCUGGUUUGGGAC